UAUUCUUUUUACUUGACGAAGUGCGUUCGCAGGUGCACAUCGAACGGAAGUCUUCGCAAGAGAUGCGGUGGAUGAAUGCGUGAACGACGACAACGACAGUGUGACUAGGCUACGCGCCCGCCACUGGAGCCCGCUCGCAUUUCAACAAUACAGUCACAACAUCAACAGCUGCGUUCGCAGGUGCACAUCGAACGGAAGUCUUCGCAAGAGAUGCCGUGGAUGAAUGCGUGAACGACGACAACGACAGUGUGACUAGGCUAUGAGCCCGCCACUGGGGCCCGCUCGCAUUUCAACAAUACAGUCACAACAUCAACAGCGUGCACAUCGAACGGAAGUCUUCGCAAGAGAUGCCGUGGAUGAAUGCGUGAACGACGACAACGACAGUGUGACUCGGCUACGAGCCCGCCACUGGAGCCCGCUCGCAUUUCAACAAUACAGUCACAACAUCAACAGCGUGCACAUCGAACGGAAGUCUUCGCAAGAGAUGCCGUGGAUGAAUGCGUGAACGACGACAACGACAGUGUGACUAGGCUACGAGCCCGCCACUGGAGCCCGCUCGCAUUUCAACAAUACAGUCACAACAUCAACAGCGUGCACAUCGAACGGAAGUCUUCGCAAGAGAUGCCGUGGAUGAAUGCGUGAACGACGACAACGACAGUGUGACUAGGCCACGAGCCCGCCACUGGAGCCCGCUCGCAU